rnacentral:rRNA from 1 species
AUGACUAAAAACAAUUUGCUCAAAAGACAUAUAGACAAAGGUAGAGAAUGUCUCUUUUGUGCCUGUGAUGAAAAUACCACCCAUUUAUUCUUUGAUUGUGUGGUUUCCUCUGCUAUCUGGGAGGUUGUGCAAAGUUUCUUCAAAAAGCCAGUGGGCGCCAAUUAUGAGUCAGUAGCUAGAUUGUGGGUUUCUAACAAGAAACGCCUAGUUCUAAACACGGUCAAUGUUGUUGUUCUUUGGUGUGUCUGGAAAUAUAGAAACAACAUGAUUUUGAUUCUCUCUUGGAUUAGUAUCAAACAGAUUUGGUGGAGGAUACUAAAAACACUCAGAUCAUGGCUGAUCUUGGUGUCGGCACAACUGAAGGAAUACAUGGAAGCUUUCCUAGCAUAUCUACUGGAGUUCCUCAAGCAACCUCUGUUGAUAGGAAGUGGCUAA